GACGAACGCUGGCGGCGUGCUUAACACAUGCAAGUCGUACGGUAAGGCCCUUUCGGGGGUCCACGAGUGGCGAACGGGUGAGUAACACGUGAGUAACCUGCCCACAACUUUGGGAUAACGCUAGGAAACUGGUGCUAAUACUGGAUAUGUGCUCCUGCUGCAUGGUGGGGGUUGGAAAGCUCCGGCGGUUGUGGAUGGACUCGCGGCCUAUCAGCUUGUUGGUGGGGUAGUGGCCUACCAAGGCGGCGACGGGUAGCCGGCCUGAGAGGGUGACCGGCCACAUUGGGACUGAGAUACGGCCCAGACUCCUACGGGAGGCAGCAGUGGGGAAUAUUGCACAAUGGGCGCAAGCCUGAUGCAGCAACGCCGCGUGCGGGAGAACGGCCUUCGGGUUGUAAACCGCUUUCAGCAGGGACGAAGCUUUUUGUGACGGUACCUGCAGAAGAAGCACCGGCUAACUACGUG
rnacentral:rRNA from 1 species